UUUUCGUUGGGCAAGUCUGCAUUUCUGGACUGAUGCUGGUCAGACUCCGCGCCACGGCCCUUCCCCCUGGGUGUAAAAGGCCCCCCCGGGUUGCCAGGUGCUUUCACUGCAGGCUCCCCCAAACCUUAGCUGCUUGUGCCCUUUUCACGGAUGACGACCGACCGGAGGCUCAGAGAGGAAUCAGACCCUCAAUCGGCUGGUGUUUUAUGUGUGAGAUCUUUCCAGAAAGGAUUUGAGGCUGCUUAGAAGAUCCAAUAGGUGAAGGGAGAUUAACCAGAGAGACUGGCUGUAUUUCUCGCACCCUUGGUACUGCCUCAGAGCUGGUCAGGACCAGACUGGAUUUGAACCCAGAGCCUCGGAUCCCAAUACAAUGUCAUCCACGCUAUUACUACCUGUUCCAUUGAUUCCGGAGGACUCCCACAUCUCUGUGAGAGAUUUCCUUCUUUCCAUCUCUUAAUUUUGUGCACACAUAUAUAUGCACGUAUAUUUACACAUAGGUAUAUGUAUGUGUGUGUAUAUAUAUAUAUAUUAUGUGUGUAUGUAUAUACACGCGUGUAUGUGUGCAUUUAAUUUAUUGAAGAUCAGCUGUGAGCCUGGUGGACUUUUAUAAAUGUUAUCUUUUCCCCAAACAUUUGUGCCAGACACAUCUUAGAAGCUGGGAUACAGCGGUGGAACAAAUUUUAAACAUUUAAACACACUGUGAUACGCUAAGAUUAAAGAACAUAAAAGGUAGCUUCUGGCAUGAAGAGGAUGGGGAUUUUUUAUUCA